UACGUAGGGCGCAAGCGUUGUCCGGAAUUAUUGGGCGUAAAGAGCUCGUAGGUGGUGUGUCGCGUCUGCCGUGAAAGCCCGGGGCUUAACUCCGGGUCUGCGGUGGAUACGGGCAGACUAGAGGCAGGUAGGGGAGAACGGAAUUCCCGGUGUAGCGGUGAAAUGCGCAGAUAUCGGGAGGAACACCGGUGGCGAAGGCGGGUCUCUGGGCCGAUACUGACGCUGAGACGCGAAAGCGUGGGGAGCGAACAGG
rnacentral:rRNA from 1 species